rnacentral:rRNA from 1 species
UACGUAGGUGGCAAGCGUUGUCCGGAAUUAUUGGGCGUAAAGGGCGCGUAGGCGGUUUGACAAGUCUGAUGUGAAAUCUCUGGGCUCAACCCAGAGUCUGCAUUAGAAACUGUCGGGCUUGAGUAUGGGAGAGGUGAGUGGAAUUUCCGGUGUAGCGGUGAAAUGCGUAGAUAUCGGAAGGAACACCUGUGGCGAAAGCGGCUCACUGGACCAUAACUGACGCUGAGGCGCGAAAGCUAGGGGAGCAAACAGG